GGUGCUGUAGCUCAGUGGUAGAGCACUUACCUAGCAGGCAUAAGGCCCUGGGUUGGAGUCCCAGCAUACCA
rnacentral:tRNA from 1 species